UUCUCAAAUUUCUCCAUCGUCAGGCUCCAUAUGGAUCCAGCUCCAUCCAGGGUCAUGGAGGCUUUGCAGUUUGGUUGAAGACAGGGACGGGGACAUAGUGAUCUUGGUUCAGGACAAGACACAAAGGAAAUAAUUCAGUGAUCGUCUCAAAAUUUCAGUCCCUUUAUUCCUGCAUUUGUUUCCAAGUAGCAGCAAAAGGGAGAAGGCAGAAGGGAGAAGGCAGCAGAAGGAAGUUGAGAAGCUAGAAAGAAAACUGCUUAUUCUUGUGAGAUUUUUUAUAAGGUUAUUCUUAUGUGAUUGUGACAAGUGAUGUAUAUAUCCUUGAAAAAAAGAUAAGUGAGGUAUAUAAUGGAUGAAAAAUAUAUUCUCGAUGAUGCAUGUAA